UCUGUUCUCAGGGAACUUUAAGAAGAGAUGAGAUGAAUACACAUAGCUAUGAUAGAAAGUGUGAUAUACACAUGUAAGUGGCCAGAGAGUUCUAAACAAGAGCUAUGGAGAUUCUAAACUGUGAUGACAUAGAACAUGUUCAAACCCCACCAGUAACUAGCAACUUACACUGAGUCUCUCAGUUCCUACAUCUUUAAAAUGGGGAUGGCCAUAUACUAAACUAUAGGGUUACUGAGAACAUUACAUGAGUCAAUGAAUGUGUGCUGAUGUUCAAAGAUGUGGGGGAAGAGAUUCUCUAGAAGCAAGGAGCAGCACAAACAAAGCAAAGGGAAUGUGCAUCUGAGAAAAUAAGUGGUCUAGAUCCACUGAUGAGAGGAAAGGAUUAAUAAAAGAGGAUGUCAUUCAAUCCGAAAGCCUUAGAGAUCCAUCCCAACUCCAAGCCUGUAUGGUGGUAUGGGGUGGAUAGAGAUGAUGUCCCACAAAGCAGAAGUACAGAACGGGAGUGAAACGAGACCCAACAACAGAGAGGAAAGAUUAACAGGAAGUCCUUGCUUAGGUUGGUAAGAAGCAUCAAGCUUUCAAGACUAAUGAUUUAUCUGCAUUCAAGUAAGUUAAUAUAAUUAGCCAAAAAUAAAUGAAUAUAUAUUACAUUUAAAACAAGAUAAGGUUGUUAAAAAGAUGUACAAUUUUAAAACAUAACAGAGAUGAUGCAAACUGACCACAGUAUUUUGAAGUAUAUGAUUUUAAAAAUGUAUUUCUAACAUGUAAAAAUAACAUUUUAAUCAAUUUUCUAUUAAUAUGAAUGAGAUGGAAGUUCAUUUUAAUUUUUAUUUAAAAAACAAAAAAAUCAAUGCAACAAUGUAAAUCAUUUGCCAAUUAUUUAAAAUGAAGCUACGGUAAAAAUAUCACUUUUAGAGAAAGAAGACCUAAAUUUCAAUACCAGUUCUGCCACAUACUACUUUAAUUAUUUCUAAAAUAUUACAUAUAUUUCUAAUCCCUCCUCUUUCCACCGACAUAUGACAAUAAAAGAAUAUAAAUAGGAGCCACCAAAUUCAGGAUCAAGAAAAAAGAAAACACUUGUGACAACUGUUGGAAUUAACACAGUUAUAUUAAUUCAAAUGUGUCACAUUUGACUCUGAGCUUCCUGGCAGUCAGGGCAAAAAGGGAAACACCACGUUUAAUAUAGUAAUUAUUAGAAUUCCUUAAUUCUCCACACUGUGCUGUAAGUUUGUGUACACACAUGCUUGUUUAUACACAUGCUAUUAGCAUGUGUAUAUAUAUCUUACUUGAUCAUCCCAGCAACUUUAUUGAGAAGGCAAUAUUGGUACCCCCAUUAUAUCACAUAAAAAAACCUAAGGCUCCAAGUACUUUAUAUAGUCAAAAGAAGUUAAAUUAAGUUCCUGAGAUUAUUGAAUAUUAAAUGGAUAGAACACAUAUCUCCUUACUCUUAGUCUAGCCCUCUUUAUUCUACCUCAUAUUGCCUUGAGUUCUUAACCCUAAAAUAUAAAUUUCUCACAUAGAAUUUGAGUAAUAGAAGGUGCCCUCAAUGUUUUUUACAGCAGAUACAAAAAUGAAUUUCACAUAGCUAUUUCUUAUAGGAAUUGUUUAUCAACCUAAGCAUAAAAUCAAAAUGUAACUAGAUAAAGCUGUAGAUAAAAUAAGGUAGUUUUGAGUAUCAGAUGUGAUAAUGCAUGUGGAAACCUCAUUAACUGUAAAGUAUCAUACAAAGGAACAAUAUCUUCUGAUGAAGAGAAAUCAUUUAGGACUUCUACUUGUCUUUUUUUAACUACAUUUUCUUGAUGGUUUCUAUUCAGAUCUAAAGUACACCACACUUUUCUUACAAAUAUGUAUUUGCAGUUGUCUAAGUAGAAUUCUUUAAUGGAAGCUGAAAUGUAAAAGCUAAAAACUAAUUUUUGAAACCUUUCCUUGCAUUCCAGAACAAGUUCAAUUAUUGAAGCAGAACAACCCAGUAUUCAAAUCUAAAAGUCUGACAGGUUUUGUACUGUGGUUUGAAACUUAACUAUGUGAAAUAACUUGAUGGCAAUUAAAAUGAUUUAUUCUGUC
rnacentral:lncRNA from 1 species